AUGAAGGUCCUCUGGAUUGUAAACUUCUUUUAUCUAGGGACGAAAAAAGGGAAUUCUUUCUCGUCUGACGGUACCAGAUGAAUAAGCACCGGCUAACUCCGUGCCAGCAGCCGCGGUAAUACGGAGGGUGCAAGCGUUAUCCGGAUUCACUGGGUUUAAAGGGUGCGUAGGCGGGUGUGUAAGUCCGUGGUGAAAUCUCCGAGCUUAACUCGGAAACAGCCAUGGGUACUGCAUGUCUUGAAUGUUGUGGAGGUGAGCGGAAUAUGUCAUGUAGCGGUGAAAUGCUUAGAUAUGACAUAGAACACCAAUUGCGAAGGCAGCUCACUACACAAAUAUUGACGCUGAGACACGAAAGCGUGGGGAUCAAACAGGAUUAGAUACCCUGGUAGUCCACGCCCUAAACGAUGAUUACUCGACAUACGCGAUACACUGUGUGUGUCUGAGCGAAAGCAUUAAGUAAUCCACCUGGGAAGUACGACCGCAAGGUUG
rnacentral:rRNA from 1 species